ensembl:lncRNA
CCAGGGUUCCCGUGAGGGGGAGGGGUUGCUGAGGCGCUCGGAGGUCCGAGGCCGGGUGGGGGGAGCCUUGAACGGAGGCGCGCGGGAGGCCCAGGGCAGGGGGCGCGCAGGGGAUGCCGGGCAGCAAGCGUUUCCACGGAGACGCGCCCCGCGACCACAGAACGGAAUGGCGCGGGGGCAGCAGGCCGUUGGGGGCCCGACUCCGCAAAGAAGGCGUCUUGGGACGGGGCCGCUAGCGGCCCGGAGUCCGGCCCCGCCCGCCGCUCGUAAUGUCGACCCCGGAGAUAAACGCCUCGGAGCCUCCUUCGGCUCCAACGCAUAAAGUGGGCUUCGCCAAAUACAGAUGGGAAUGCAAGCAAAGCUCCUACAACUACUUCAUCAAAACCGGUUCCGGGGAUUUAAAAGUGCUGUCUGUGAUAUUAUUGAUAGUGUCAUUUAUCUUGAUGAAAGAAACCCAAACAGCCAAUGUGUUCGUUCCAGUGGUCUUAAUGAUAGAGUCCUUCCUCUUUUUUUUCUUCAUUUUUGCUAAUGUCCUGGCAUUCCCAAGAUAUUUAACAAAGCUGAUCUGGCCCAUUUUUGACAUGCUCAAUGACUUUUUUGCAUUUAUAUACCUUGCAUAUGUUGGUUUCUAUUCAAUAAUUUACCCACCAGCCACCUUGGAGAAAUUAUACUGGCAAGUAGUUGGACUCAUACUUUCUGUUGCCUUCUUGUCUAUACUAGAUGUUAUUUUACAAGGCCGGCAUUUUUUGGAUUGGAGGACAAAAACUGGAAUAAAGUACAAAAGUGACUCUGCAACCAGAUCGAAGUCUCUGGACACUUAAAAUCUCAUAAAAAGCACAAAUAUGUAUCAUUUUUCUUUUUACUAGGAUGAUUUUCUUUUCCACUAAAAUUCCCAUUUUGACAUUUUCAUGGCAAAGCGCUUUCCCAAAAAAUAAAGAAUGUAUAAAAGUCUUUCCCAGAGGAAUACCAAUUUUAGCCUUACCAAAUACAGUUCUCUUCUAAUACCUCACCUUGGCAUAGACAGGAAUAGUCCUGGGUUCUCUGAGGCCAAAACAGCAGAAUUCAUUUUAAGUGCUUUAUAAAUGAUUCUUGUCUACCUGCCUGCAGGCUCUACCAGAUUGAGGCAGUCUUGAAUUUGGGCCUGGUAAUACCACAUCUGUCAUCAAGACACAAGACCUGCUGUUCAGAAGUACGUAACACUAUGAUAGCUUCAGGAUAACAGAAAUUUGGUUCACAGUAAUUCACUGGAACAUUUGCCGAGUCAAAAAUUGUGACCUGUAUUAGGGGAUGGGAGGCCUAAACUCAAGGGAUCAGAUCCUUGAAGAACUGAAAUAUCAAAUAAAAAAAUUCAGCUGGAAGAAUCUUUUGGUUUCUUAUAGGACAUAUUUUGUACUCAUUUAUUAACCUUAAUUGUCAGACCUUGGAAGGGAUCUUAGAAUAUAGAACACAAACCAUUAAGAUAGAUAAACCAUUGGUUAAUUUGAUUUUUUAAAAAGACCAAAGUAUCAGAAGUAUCAGAUGAAAAGGGUGAAUUUACAAAGAAACUAUCAUUAGGAAAUUGUCCCUAAUUACAUGCCAAUAUAUCUGAAUCUAAGCAAAAUUGACAAAUAUUUACAAAAAUAUAACUUGUUCAGAUUAAUAGAAGAAAUAGAAUAUAUAACUUCAUAUGGAAUCUACAGCUAGUAUUUAAAUUUUUUUGCAUUAUUUGGGGAACAUGGUUUAUUUUUGCUGUUUUAGUUCUUCCUGGUUUAGGUAACACCAUAUUUGUGGCCCAAAAGUAAUUUGGAAGGACUCAUUCACCUAUUUUUUCAAAUAGUUUCUAUAGUAUUGGAAUUGUUCUUUAAAUGUUUGGAGUUCAUUUGUGAACCUAGCUGAUCCUGGAAAUUUUUUCUGACGAGUUUAUUGAUGGCUUGUUCAAUUUUUUUUUUUCUAAGAUGAAGUUAUACCAAGAUAAGACCAAAAUGAGUACAUGAUUUACACACAAAGGGUGAAUAAGAAAAUGAGGAGAGCAAGGAAUAGUUUACCUGUCAGAUCAAUGGUAAAGGGAGGAAUUUAAGAUGAAACAAGAGAGCAUUACAAAAUGUAAAAUGGAUAAUUUUGAAUUGUUAAAUUUAAAAGGUUUUGCAUCAAGUCAAUGCAGCCAAGAUUAGAAGGGAAGCAGAAAUGUGAGAAAAAAUUUUUAUAGCCAGUGUCUCUGAUAAAGGCCUCAUUUCUCAACUAUAUAGAGAUUUGAAUCAAAUUUAUAAGAAUAUGAAUCAUUCCCCAGUUGAUAAAUGGUCAAAGGAUAAGUACAGGCAGUUUUCUGAUUAAAAAAUCAAAGCUGUCUAUAGAUACAUUUUUUAAAAUGCUAUAAAUCAUUGAUCAGAGAAAUGCAAAUUAAUACAACCAUUUUAGAGAAAAAGAGGUAGAAGGG